rnacentral:hammerhead_ribozyme from 1 species
AUCCAGCUGACUAGUCCCCAAAAAGGACGAAACGGGCGUCCUAGAU